AGCAGCGGCGCUAGCCGUUGUGGAGUCAACCUUGAAAUACCACCCUUGAUAUGUUGAGCUUCUAACCUCGGUCCGUUAUCCGGAUCAGGAACAGUGCCUGGCGGGCAGUUUCACUGGGGUGGUGGCCUCCCAAAAUGUAACGGAGGCGCCCAAAGGUUCCCUCAGUCUGGUCGGCAAUCAGACGUUGAGUGCAAGGGCAAAAGGGAGCUUGACUGCGAGACUUACAAGUCGAGCAGGUGCGAAAGCAGGGCCUAGUGAUCCUACGGCGGCACGUGGAAGCGCCGUGGCUCAUCGGCUAAAAGGUACCCCGGGGAUAACAGGCUUAUCUUGCCCAAGAGUCCAUAUCGACGGCAAGGGUUGGCACCUCGAUGUCGGCUCGUCGCAUCCUGGGGCUGGAGCAGGUCCCAAGGGUCGGGCUGUUCGCCCGUUAAAGCGGCACGCGAGCUGGGUUUAGAACGUCGUGAGACAGUUCGGUCCCUAUCCGUCGCAGGCGCAGGAGUUCUGAGGAGAGCUGUCCCUAGUACGAGAGGACCGGGAUGGACGAACCUCUAGUGUGCCAGUUGUCCUGCCAAGGGCAUGGCUGGUUGGCUACGUUCGGAACGGAUAAGCGCUGAAGGCAUCUAAGUGCGAAGCCGCCUCCAAGAUGAGAACUCCCACCGAUUUAUCGGGUAAGACCCCUGGCAGAACACCAGGUAGAUAGGCCGGAAGUGGACACGUAGCAAUGCGUGCAGCUGACCGGUACUAAUCGGUCGAGGGCUUGGAUCGA
rnacentral:rRNA from 1 species